CCAUGAUCCAUUAACCCAGGCCUUGCUGGGAAGGGGCCCAGAAAGCCAGAGCGUCCAGGCAACCCAGGUGAUUGUUAUACUCAGGAAGCUUUCAAAAAUACCUCUAGAUACAAGAAAUGCUCAGCUGCAGAGAAGCAUCCAUCAAGAGUCUAGCAGGGGCUCUUGUUCCAGCUGCUCCCUGUGACUCCCCACUGCUCUGCAUUCUGCCAUAUCCAGUGAUGGUUUAUGACACAAUUCACCAGGCAGCAAGCCAUGUGCCUCUUACAGACAGCAAUUAGGAGAAAGGAAAGGCCGAAUUACAAGCAUGUCAAUAAAGGCCCAGCGAACGCCCUCAACCAAUUCCUCCAUCUACAAGAAAAUACCCAAAGAGGGAACGUCAAAGCCAAGAAGCUUCAGUCGAGGUUUUCUGGAACAAAAUUGGCUUGCAUGAGAAAUGACUCUUUACUCAACAUGGUCUGACCAGAUCUGCUUGACAAGACUGUGGCUGAUAAUAUGUGGCAAAGGCAACACUGCCCAAUGCUAGCCAGAAAUGGAGAAAACAAACAAGAAAGGUGAGCCAAUGUGUCAUCGUCGUGGCAGCACACUCAAAGACAAGGACAAGAGUAAGUGUUCAUACUUAUUUCAAAAGAAUUCCCAAUGAGCUAUCUAAAUUACUUGUUUUGCUGGAUGUUACUUGACCGAAGAUUGCAUAAAUGAGCUGUCACGAUUGGGACCGGAUGAUAUUUGUUGUAACAAGAUUUAGCCUGCAGAGGGUUAUGAAAUCUGGACCUAUUCUAGAAAUUACAUGGCCGGGCAUGGUGGCUCAUGCCUGUAAUCCCAGCACUUUGGGACGCUGAGGAGGGCAGAUCACGAGGUCAGGAGAUCGAGACCAUCCUGGCUAACACAGUGAAACCCCAUCUCUACUAAAAAUACAAAAAAUUAGCCAGGCGAGGUGGCAUGCACCUGUGGUCCCAGCUACUUGGGAGGCUGAGGCGGGAAAAUGGCGUGAACCCGGGAGGCAGAGCUUGCAGUGAGCCAAGAUCGCACCACUGCACUCCAGCCUGGGCAACAGGGCGAGACUUGGUCUCAAAAAAAAAAAAAAAAGAAAAAGAAAUUAUAUUUGGCUCCUCGAGUAAUUUCAUGAGUAAUUUCAUGAGACUCUUGUAUGAGCCAGACUUGGCGUUAAAUGAUAGGGUGGGUUCUGGAAUGUGGCCAGGGCACUAACAUGAAAAGGAUCUUUAUUCCAAUGAAAGCUACUAUACUAGGCAUGUAUGGAGGAGUAGCGACAGCAAAACCCCCCAGGCACCUCCCUCACUCUAUGAUAAAUUAAAAAGAGGCAAUCUAAAUGCAGAAGUUGCCACAGCCUGUGCCAGG
rnacentral:lncRNA from 1 species